rnacentral:rRNA from 1 species
GACUUGUAAUGCUCUAUAUGCCUUUAUCACAUAAGUGAGCAAGGGAAACAUUUAUGGCUUUGGGAUGGGACUGUACGGUAUCAGCUUGUUGGUGAGGUAAUGGCUCACCAAGGCUAUGACGCCUAACUGGUUUGAGAGGAUGAUCAGUCACACUGGAACUGAGACACGGUCCAGACUCCUACGGGAGGCAGCAGUGGGGAAUAUUGCACAAUGGAGGAAACUCUGAUGCAGCAACGCCGCGUGGAGGAUGACACAUUUCGGUGCGUAAACUCCUUUUAUAUGAGAAGAUAAUGACGGUAUCAUAUGAAUAAGCACCGGCUAACUCCGUGCCAGCAGCCGCGGUAAUACGGGGGGUGCAAGCGUUACUCGGAAUCACUGGGCGUAAAGAGCAUGUAGGCUGGUUUGUAAGUUGGAAGUGAAAUCCUAUGGCUUAACCAUAGAACUGCUUCCAAAACUGCAGACCUAGAAUAUGGGAGAGGUAGAUGGAAUUUCUGGUGUAGGGGUAAAAUCCGUAGAGAUCAGAAGGAAUACCGAUUGCGAAGGCGAUCUACUGGAACAUUAUUGACGCUGAGAUGCGAAAGCGUGGGGAGCAAACAGGAUUAGAUACCCUGGUAGUCCACGCCCUAAACGAUGCACACUAGUUGUUGCUAUG